rnacentral:rRNA from 1 species
UGAGGAAUAUUGGUCAAUGGGCGAGAGCCUGGACCAGCCAAGUAGCGUGCAGGAUGACGGCCCUAUGGGUUGUAAACUGCUUUUAUAUGGGAAUAAAGUGAGGGACGUGUCCCUUAUUGCAUGUACCAUACGAAUAAGGACCGGCUAAUUCCGUGCCAGCAGCCGCGGUAAUACGGAAGGUCCAGGCGUUAUCCGGAUUUAUUGGGUUUAAAGGGAGCGUAGGCUGUUUGUUAAGCGUGUUGUGAAAUGUAAGAGCUCAACUUUUAGAUUGCAGCGCGAACUGGCAGACUUGAGUGCGCACAACGUAGGCGGAAUUCAUGGUGUAGCGGUGAAAUGCUUAGAUAUCAUGACGAACUCCGAUUGCGAAGGCAGCUUACGGGAGCGCAACUGACGCUAAAGCUCGAAGGUGCGGGUAUCGAACAGG